rnacentral:tRNA from 1 species
CAAAAAAUAGUUUAAUUUAGAAUUCUAGCUUUGGGGGCUAGAGGCAGGAGUUUGAUUCUCCUUUUUUUGA